UUUGGGUGAGGGGUACUCCUAGGGGUGAUAACACUGCCGUGGUUCAGGACUGUGCUCGCUGGAGCCCAGCAGACUCCUGCUGCCUUGGAAAAGGCCCUGAGGAGAAAAACAGAAAGGUCCAGUGGUGCAGGGUGUGCACUGCAGAGCAGAUUGGCUGGGUAAAGUGGGUUUCUGUGCUGCUUUAGGGGAAAGGCAGGUAUGGUCUAGUGAAUCUAAUUCUCAUACCAACUUUGUCAACUUUAAGCUUCCAGGUGAAGCUCUGUCAAGAGAAAGAGGAUUUCACGAAUUUGCUUUACUACUUACAGAACCAAGCACAGAGGACUCAAACAAAAGGUUUCUUUUCCACUUCUCAUAGCAGAGACGCACUUUUUUCCUGAUGUGAGCUGGGGGUACCUGUGUGCUUGCUGGUCAAUUGAGGCUGUCACUCAAGCUGCGUCUUCCCGUAAGUGGAACAUACUGUAAAACAUCAGCAGAUUUCCCUGCAAUCACCAUACCAGGUCUAAAGGGAAGAUUAUUAGGUCGUGACACUGAGUCAACCAUAUCCAAAUGAUAUUAAAGCCAGGAGGGGCUGCAAAUUAGUCAACCUUUCCUGUGUGUGCUGGCAGCUGGGCACCCUCCUCUGCUUUUGUCUGGGUUUGCACAUGACUCACUGCAGGCUCGAGGGAUUUGCAUUAGUGGAUCAUAAGUAAAAAUCUCAUUAAAAUGA